rnacentral:rRNA from 1 species
AGUGAACGCUGGCGGUAGGCCUAACACAUGCAAGUCGAACGGCGGCACAGUAAGAGCUUGCUCUUACGGGUGGCGAGUGGCGGACGGGUGAGGAAUACAUCGGAAUCUACUUUUUCGUGGGGGAUAACGUAGGGAAACUUACGCUAAUACCGCAUACGACCUACGGGUGAAAGCAGGGGAUCUUCGGACCUUGCGCGAUUGAAUGAGCCGAUGUCGGAUUAGCUAGUUGGCGGGGUAAAGGCCCACCAAGGCGACGAUCCGUAGCUGGUCUGAGAGGAUGAUCAGCCACACUGGAACUGAGACACGGUCCAGACUCCUACGGGAGGCAGCAGUGGGGAAUAUUGGACAGUGGGCGCAAGCCUGAUCCAGCCAUACCGCGUGGGUGAAGAAGGCCUUCGGGUUGUAAAGCCCUUUUGUUGGGAAAGAAAAGCAGCAGGUUAAUACCCCGCUGUUCUGACGGUACCCAAAGAAUAAGCACCGGCUAACUUCGUG